ACGGGUGCGGAACACGUACACAACCUUCCUUUUAGUGGGGGAUAGCCCAGAGAAAUUUGGAUUAAUACCCCGUAACAUGAUGAUGAGGCAUCUUAUUAUUAUUAUAGUGGCAACACGCUAGAAGACGGGUGUGCGUAUGAUUAGGUAGUUGGCGGGGUAACGGCCCACCAAGCCUUCGAUCAUUAACUGGUGUGAGAGCACGACCAGUCACACGGGCACUGAGACACGGGCCCGACUCCUACGGGAGGCAGCAGUAAGGAAUAUUGGUCAAUGGAGGAAACUCUGAACCAGCCAUGCCGCGUGGAGGAUGAAGGUCCUCUGGAUUGUAAACUUCUUUUAUAUGGGACGAAAAAGGGACUUUCUAGUUCAACUGACGGUACCAUAUGAAUAAGCACCGGCUAACUCCGUGCCAGCAGCCGCGGUAAUACGGAGGGUGCAAGCGUUAUCCGGAUUCACUGGGUUUAAAGGGAGCGUAGGUGGGUUAGUAAGUCCGUGGUGAAAUCUCUGAGCUUAACUCGGAAACUGCCAUGGAUACUAUUAGUCUUGAAUAUUGUGGAGGUUAGCGGAAUAUGUCAUGUAGCGGUGAA
rnacentral:rRNA from 1 species